UGAGGAAUAUUGGUCAAUGGGAGCAAUCCUGAACCAGCAAUGCCGCGUGUGGGAUGACAGGGCUUCGCCUUGUAAACCACUGUCGGAUGGGACGAAAGGAACCCUCGGGGUUCUGGGACGGUACCAUCAAAGGAAGGGUCGGCUAACUACGUGCCAGCAGCCGCGGUAAUACGUAGGACCCGAGCGUUGUCCGGAUUUACUGGGUAUAAAGGGUGCGUAGGCGGCCUUGUGCGUCAGAGGUGAAAUAUCCGGGCUUAACCCGGAGGGUGCCUUUGAUACGGCAGGGCUUGAGUGCGAGAGAGGAUGAUGGAAUUCCUGGUGUAGCGGUGAAAUGCGUAGAUAUCAGGAGGAACACCGGUGGCGAAGGCGGUCAUCUGGCUCGCAACUGACGCUGAGGCAC
rnacentral:rRNA from 1 species